GGUCAAGCUAAUAAGGGCUUGCGGAGGAUACCUAGGCACACAGAGGCGAAGAAGGACGUGGUUACCAACGAUAAGCUCCGGGGAGUUGGAAGCAAGCAUAGAGCCGGAGAUUUCCGAAUGGGGAAACCCUUAGAACUGACUGUUGAAUAUAUAGACAGUAAAGAGCGAACCCAGCGAACU
rnacentral:rRNA from 1 species